AACGAACGCUGGCGGCAUGCCUAACACAUGCAAGUCGAACGAUGCCUUCGGGGAUAGUGGCGCACGGGUGCGUAACGCGUGGGAAUCUGCCCUUAGCCUCGGAAUCACAGUUAGAAAUGACAACUAAUACCGGAGGAUGUCCACAUGAGAGAUCUUGUGGGACAAAGAUUUAUCGGCCAGGGAUGAGAACGCGUAGGAUUAAUGAGCUGGUGGAGUAAUGGCCUACCAAGCCGAAGAUUCAUAGCUGAUCUGAGAGCAUGAACAGCCACAAUGGGACUGAGACACGGACCAGAAUCCAACUGGAAGCAGCAGUGGGGAAUAUUAGACAAUGGGGGGAACUCUGAGAAAGCAAUGCCGCGUGAGUGAUGAAGGGCUUAGGGUUGUAAAGCUCUUUUAGCAGGGAUGAUAAUGACAGUACCUUGAGAAUAAGCCCCGGCUAACUCCGUG
rnacentral:rRNA from 1 species